CACUAUGCUUAGCCUUAAACUUUGAUAAUAUGUUACAGAUAUUAUCCGCCAGGGGACUACAAGCGCUAGCUUAAAACCCAAAGGACUUGGCGACACCUUAGAUCCCCCUAGAGGAGCCCGUUCUAUAACCGAUGAUCCUCGUUUAACCUCACCGCCCCUUGUAAGUCCAGCCUAUAUACCGCCGUCGUCAGCUUACCUUGUGAAGGAUUAGUAGUAAGCUUAAUGGGUAAGGCCCAGAACGUCAGGUCGAGGUGUAGCUAAUGGGGCGGGAAGAAAUGGGCUACAUUUUCUGGUUCAGAAUAUUACGGAUAAUGCUUUGAAAUAGGCAUUGUGAAGGUGGAUUUAGCAGUAAAGAGUGAAGUAGAGUGUCCUCUUGAAGCUGGCUCUAAGGCACGCACACACCGCCCGUCACUCUCCUCGAAUUACAUGAGUAACAAGUAUAUAAGCUUUAAGGUAGCUAUAAGAGGAGGUAAGUCGUAA
rnacentral:rRNA from 1 species